rnacentral:rRNA from 1 species
CAGUAGCCGCGGUAGUACGUGGGUGGCAAGCGUUGUCCGGAAUUAUUGGGCGUAAAGGGCCCGCAGGCGGUUUCUUAAGUCUGAUGUGAAAGCCCCCGGCUCAACCGGGGAGGGUCAUAGGAAACUGGGAAACUUGAGUGCAGAAGAGGAGAGUGGAAUUCCACGUGUAGCGGUGAAAUGCGUAGAGAUGUGGAGGAACACCAGUGGCGAAGGCGACUCUCUGGUCUGUAACUGACGCUGAGGAGCGAAAGCGUGGGGAGCGAACAGGAUUAGAUACCCCGGUAGUCCCUGUCUCUUAUAC